CUGAAGUUUCUGAGGAUGUUUGAGGUCUGGUUUGCCACUCAAAAUAUCCUCUUGUCCCCUCAAAAUAGGAUUAUCUUUUUGUUUGUUUGUUUGUUUUCUUGUGGGUACAGAGGGCAAAGGGGAGAUGGGGUGAGGAGAACUCCCAGGAGAUCAAGAUAAUUUUUCCCCUUUGGGAUGUGCAAGCACACGGCUGGGGGCUCAGAAAGGGGAGCCUGUUUCCAACUAGUGUGGGUUUACGUGGCAGGGUUUUGGUAGCAGGACUCCACGUCCCAAAGGACAUCGAGCCCCAUACGAUGCAGCCGAGUCUCUGCACAUUUGGGGAGCCUGAAGGACCCUGCCAGGAGCACGAGGGAUGGAUCUGAUGGGGAAAAGUGUGCUGGGGGAGGGAGGAUGAAACCAUCUGGGCAGCAAGGAGUUAAAUGACCAUGACUGUUCUGAGCAAUGAGCAUGGCAUUUCGUGGAAACUCAGUGGGAAGGAGGCAGAGCCAGCAGCUGUGUGCAUUUGUGUGCCCUUCAUUAACCAUUGCUUUCCCUUCAGAUAUUCAAAGCAUCAAUCAUCCAGGCGGGAAAAGACCCCCAAAAUGGAGACCCACCCAUCCCCCUACCACCGAUGUCACCCACUAAACCGCGUCCCCAAGCACCACAUCCAACUUUUCCCUUUUAUGGAAAAAAAGGGUUGGAGCAGCCGUGUGAUGCAGCCGAGUCUGCGCACAUUUGGGGAACCUGAAAGACCCUGGCAGGAUCACAAGGGAUGGAUCCAAUGGGGAAAAAUGCUCAGGGGGGGGAAAGGAAGGGAGGAUGAAACCACCUGGGUUGCAAGGGUUUAUUACUUCCAGCCGGCUGCUGUUGGGCAUGAUAAUUUUAACAGUAUGAAUAUUUAGAGAGCCUUUCUUCUUUAAGAAAAUAUUUCCAUUUGACCCUGCAGAACUAAAAAUAAAUGGGAGGCUGCUGCUAUGAGCAGCAGAAAGAUACUUGGAAGAAAACACCAACUUUCUGGCACACAUUUUCUGUCCGUUAUCUGGCUUCGAGCCCAGAUGCAGCUGUGUUUUUCUCUGUCUUGUUUCAUUUUCCCCUGAGACAGAGAGGCACCAGCAGUGCCAAAUAAUCAACAUGGCUCAAAGUCCACUCGGCUCUGUGCCAAUGCCACGUAUCGGCACAGGGUUGAAAAGCCCCAGCUGGUCCGUAGAGGGUCAAAAAGCCUUGAGUCAAAGAGCCAGGGAGCUGAAACUGCACUUCCAGAUAACUGCAUGUGCUGCCCUUCCCUUGGACCAAGUGGUGAGCUAUAGGGAUGUGAGCUGUGCGAGGUUUGGGCAAAGGAUGCCUGAGCCUAAUUCCAGGGAUUUUUUUUGAGCUAAAAACAAAAGAGGAGAUUUAACCUGUGCAGGUGCAGAGUGACCAGCUGGAGUUAUUUAUUAAACCACCGUUUACUUGCCACCAGCUAAUUAACUUCAAUGGCGGUGAGGGGAAGAGAGUGCCUGCAGAAUGUGCUGGAGGAUGCAGUUACGAGCUGGGACAUUUUCUGCAGCCUGUGGGACUGAACGAAGUUUGGAGUGAAUAGAAACAGCAAGAAAUGAGGAUGUUUUCCCAUGCGCUUUAAGAAAAUGGUGCGUCCAGGCCUAAAUAGCAUCUCGGAUAUUUUUUAGAAGAGCUGGCUGGAGAAACAAACAAACAAACAAAAAACAGGAAAAAAAGGGACUUUGAGGAUGGCAGAAACCCUUCCUGAUGCAGGUGAGGACCCGACUGCUGUGAUGAUGUCCCCACGCCAAAGAGCAACGGAGACGACUUUUAGCCUCAAGUGCCUUAAGGACAAACUGAUCCCCAUCGGGGCCACCGUGCUCGUGACAGCGUUGGUGAUCACCGUCAUUGCCCUGGCGGCCAGGAAAUGUCCAUCCUGCCCCUCUCCCAUCCUUCCCACCUGCUCAGAAAACGGCAUCGGGUUCAGGGAGAAAUGCUUCUACUUUGUGCAGAACGAGACCAACUGGAACAAGAGCCAGAGCUUCUGCCUCUCCCUAGGAGCCCAGCUGGCCACCAUCGACAGCCAGGAGGACUUGGUUAAAAGAGGGGUUUGCCGGGUGCUGGGGUGGCUUUUUGGGAAGCAGCUGUGGGGUUCCUUGGAGGAUGUAAGGUGAAGAUGGGCACAACAUUUCUUCUUUGCUUUCCAGCACUUCCUAUUGCACUACGGACGUCCCUUGCACUACUGGGUUGGUCUGCAUCGGGAGGGAUCCGACCCCUGGACAUGGUGUAACGGGUCUCUCUUCAACAACCUGUUUGUUAUCCGGGGCAAUGGCCAAUGUGCCUACAUCAACCUUGCUGGGGUCAGCAGUGACUGGUGCUCCCAGCAGAAGUAUUCAGUCUGCAGCCACCCCCUGCAGAGCCCCAGGGGAGCAUAGUUGGAGGAGAGCCCUGAGUGGCCCCCUGCAGCAUCCCCCUGCAUCCUGGAGUCGCCUCCGAAUUUACACCGUGAAGAUGACGAAGAGAAAGCUGCUAUCAUUAAACCCCCUUGUGUAGGGUUCCUGAUGGUGCUUUAUUUAAAGAAAUAAGUAUUAAUUUAUUUUAACUUCAGCUUGCAGAAGUAGAAACUCCUCGAAGCAACAGCGUGGAGCUCUGGGAUCAAAGGAUCCUUCAGCCACUCGUGUCUUUGCAGCAGUUGCAGAGAGACUUGGAAAUAUCCAAAAGGUUUGGAAAAAACAUUUGUCCAGCACUCUGAAGCUUGAGGGCUUGAUGCCCUUGUUUGCAGGAUUCAGAGGUAGGAGGAGAAAGGGAAAGCGGAGGAACGAAGCAGAGCUGGGAGAAGCCACCAGCCUCGAAGCUCUGGUGCUGCUUUUUGGCAUCCUGGUGCCGUGUCCCAUCCCGUUUGUGCCUUGUCGUGGCUCCCUCAGUUGAAGCUGUGCUUAAAUCUUGGUGGCCUCUUUCUGGCAAAUCCAAUGCAAUGGCGUGCUGCACAAGUGGGAGCAGAGCUUCCCCUUCGAUAUCGCCGCACAAGCAUUCACCCUCCUUUCCCCCGUCACCUGCAGCCUGGGGAGCACCGUAAGCAAGAUUUUAGUCAGCACAACAGAAAGCGCUUGGAUGCUGCUUCCAGCAGCAACAUUUCAUCUCUUCAGAUAGUUGUUUAGCCCCCCCAAAAAGUUUAACCAAGUCAGCCGUUCAGCUUGGAGUGUACCACCCUGUUUGCCUCCUGUUACUCCAGAGAAAGCAAUUUUCCAGCUUUUGCCCCACAAAAAAACAAACAAACAAACAAAACAAAACAAAACAAAAAUACAAAAAA